UUGGAGGGCAAGUCUGGUGCCAGCAGCCGCGGUAAUUCCAGCUCCAAUAGCGUAUAUUAAAGUUGUUGCAGUUAAAAAGCUCGUAGUUGAACUUCGGGGUUUGCCCAUUGGUCAGGCUUAAUUGUCUGUACUGGUGAGAUGAAUCUCUACCUUCUGAGGAACUUUCAUGCCAUUUAUUUGGUGUGAUGGGAAAUCAGGACUGUUACUUUGAAAAAAUUAGAGUGUUUAAAGCAGGCUAACGUCUGAAUACAUUAGCAUGGAAUAAUGAAAUAGGACGGACUGAUUCUAUUUCGUUGGUUUCUAGGAUCGCCGUAAUGAUUAAUAGGGAUAGUUGGGGGCAUUAGUAUUCAAUUGUCAGAGGUGGAAUUCUUGGAUUUAUUGAAGACUAACUACUGCGAAAGCAUUUGCCAAGGAUGUUUUCAUUAAUCAAGAACGAAAGUUAGGGGAUCGAAGACGAUCAGAUACCGUCGUAGUCUUAACCAUAAACUAUGCCGACUAGGGAUCGGACGAAGUUAAUUUUAUAAUGACGCGUUCGGCGCCUUACGGGAAAC
rnacentral:rRNA from 1 species